rnacentral:rRNA from 1 species
UACAGAGGGGGCAAGCGUUGUUCGGAAUUACUGGGCGUAAAGGGCGCGUAGGCGGCCUGCUAAGUCGAACGUGAAAUCCCUGGGCUCAACCCAGAGCCUGCAUCCGAAACUGGCGAGCUAGAGUUCUGGAGGGGUAGCGGAAUUCCUGGUGUAGCGGUGAAAUGCGUAGAUAUCAGGAGGAACACCGGUGGCGAAGGCGGCUACCUGGACAGAAACUGACGUUGAGGCGCGAAAGCUAGGGGAGCAAACAGG